GAGUUUGAUCCUGGCUCAGAACGAACGCUAGCGGUGCGUUUUAAGCAUGCAAGUCGAACGGUAUUUUUGUUGCUUGCAACAAAAAGAGAGUGGCGAACGGGUGAGUAACACGUAAGUAAUUCUUCUAUAUGACUGGAAUAGCCAGUGGAAACAUUGGGUAAUGCCAGAUAUUUUAUGUAAAGGAGACUUUACAUAAAAAAGGGUAUUUUUAUGCCGCAUAUAGCGAAGCUUGCGGCUGAUUAGCUUGUUGGUAAGGUAAUGGCUUACCAAGGCGACGAUCAGUAGCCGGCCUGAGAGGGUGAUCGGCCACACUGGGACUGAGACACGGCCCAGACUCCUAUGGGAGGCAGCAGCUAAGAAUCUUCCGCAAUGGGCGAAAGCCUGACGGAGCGACACCGCGUGAAUGAUGAAGGCCGAGAGGUUGUAAAGUUCUUUUAUUGCUGAAGAAUAAUUUUUAUGCGCAAGUAUAAAAAGAUGACAUUAAGCAAAGAAUAAGCCCCGGCUAAUUACGUGCCAGCAGCCGCGGUAAUACGUAAGGGGCGAGCGUUGUUCGGAUUUAUUGGGCGUAAAGAGUAUGUAGGCGGAUAAGUAAGCUUUAUGAUAAAGGUCGUAGCUCAACUACGGUGUAUUAUAAAGAACCACUUGUCUUGAGUUGUGGAGAGGGAACUGGAAUUCCUGGUGUAGGGGUGGAAUCCAUAGAUAUCAGGAAGAACACCGGGAGCGAAGGCGAGUUCCUAGCCAAUAACUGACGCUGAGAUACGAAAGCAUGGGGAGCGAACGGGAUUAGAUACCCGGUAGUCCAUGCCGUAAACGAUGUGCACUAGGUGAUAGGUUGUAUAAACUUAUUGCCGAAGCUAACGCGAUAAGUGCACCGCCUGGGAAGUAUGCCGGCAACGGUGAAACUCAAAGGAAUUGACGGGGGCCCGCACAAGCGGUGGAGCAUGUGGUUUAAUUCGAUGAUACGCGAGGAACCUUACCAGGGUUUGACAUAUAUCGGAAGUCGUAAGAGAUUGCGACGUCCUUCGGGAUCGGUAAACAGGUGCUGCAUGGCUGUCGUCAGCUCGUGCUGUGAAGUGUUGGGUUAAGUCCCGCAACGAGCGCAACCCCUGUUGUUUGUUACCAGCACAUAGUGGUGGGGACUCAAACAAAACUGCCAGUGAUAAACUGGAGGAAGGUGGGGACGACGUCAAGUCAUCAUGGCCCUUAUAUCCUGGGCUACACACGUGCUACAAUGGCUGAUACAGAGCGCAGCGAAACAGUAAUGUUAAGCAAAUCGCAGAAAGUCAGUCUCAGUUCGGAUUGAAGUCUGAAAUUCGACUUCAUGAAGUUGGAAUCGCUAGUAAUCGCGCAUCAGAAUGGCGCGGUGAAUAUGUUCCCGGGCCUUGUACACACCGCCCGUCACACCACCCGAGUUGAGGGUACCCGAAGCCGUUAGCCUAACCGUAAGGAGGGCAAUGUCGAAGGUAUGCUUAGUAAGGGGGGUGAAGUCGUAACAAGGUAGCCGUACCGGAAGGUGCGGCUGGAUCACCUCCUUUCU
rnacentral:rRNA from 1 species